AGUUGGAGUUGCUGGUGUGGGGAAACAGUUGAUGGACAUUUCCAGAAGGCCAUAGUUUGGCGACCCCUGAUGUAAACGGUGGGAAAUUAUCCAUGAAAAUAUGGAAAAGCUGCUGAUGGUGUGUUUGACGGAGAAGCAGCUGGAAGGAGAUACCGUAGGAGUCCACUCUUCAAGAUACCAGGUGGUCAGGGAUGAUCUCUGGAGAGGUACCAGUUCAGAAUAGGCGCUCGCUGUUCCGAGUCGUGACCCGGGGUGGACUACUCUUCUGUGCAUCAGUUGAUGACAUCUGCAAGAAGAUCCGCCCUUUGCUGGCUUCCCGAUGGACUGGUCUUUCAUUGUAACAAUUGAAUAAUUCACCCAGUUUUGCAGCCAAUCAUCCAGGAGGGGGUCUCCACACGUCUGCAGCUCCACAAGGAGUCAUCUUUUUCCAAGCUUGAUCUUUUUAAGUUUUUGCUUGCCUAGGUGUGGGUUUAAGUGGGUGAAACUCUUUGAGGCAUUUGUGAUG